AUGGCACGACUGCUCCUCCUCGUCCUGGCCACCUCACUCGUUGCGCUGGCGUCGUGCCAACGUCUUCCGGUGCUCGCACCGGUCACCAAGGACCCCGCCACCUCCCUCUACACAAUCCCCUUCCACCAGGGCGCCAGCCUCGUCCUUGACAUCGCCGGCCCGCUCGUUUGGUCCACGUGCCAGCGCGGCGAUCUGCCGACAGACAUCCCGUGCAGUAGCCCCACCUGCCUCCUUGCCAACGCCUACCCGGCCCCGGGCUGCCCCGCGUCCAGCUGCGGCAGCGACAGGCACCACAAGCCGUGCAAGGCGUACCCAUACAACCCGGUCACCGGCGCCUGCGCCGCCGGGAGCCUCGCCCGCACGACGCUCGUAGCCAGCACCACCAACGGGAAUUACCCGGUGAGCGAGGUGAACGUCCGGGUCCUGGCGGCGUGCGCGCCGAGGAAGCUCCUGGCGUCGCUGCCCCGGGGCUCCACUGGCGUGGCCGGGCUCGGGGGCUCCGGCCUGGCGCUGCCGGCUCAGGUGGCGUCCACCCAGAAGGUCGACAACAAGUUCCUCCUCUGCCUCCCCAGCGGCGGCCCUGGCGUGGCCAUCUUCGGCGGCGGCCCGCUCCCGUGGCCGCAAUUGACGCGAUCGAUGCCGUACACGCCGCUCGUCACCAAGGGCGGCAGCCCCGCGCACUACAUCUCCGUCAAGGCCAUCCAAGUGGAGGACACCCGCGUCUCCGUCUCAGAGCGCGCGCUCGUGAUGCUCAGCACGAGGCUGCCCUACGCCAUGCUCCGCCGGGACGUGUACCGCCCAUUGGUGGACGCGUUCACCAAGGCCCUAGCGGCGCAGCCUGCCAACGGAGCGCCCGUGGCGCGCGCCGUGAAGCCUGUGGCGCCGUUCGAGCUGUGCUACGACACGAAGUCGCUGGGCAACAACCCCGGCGGGUACUGGGUGCCGAACGUCGGGCUGGCGCUCGACGGCGGGAGUGACUGGUGGAUGACUGGGAAAAACUUCAUGGUGGACGUCAAGCCGGGGACGGCGUGCGUUGGGUUCGUGGAGAUGAAGGGGGUGGAUGCCGGCGCCGGCAGGGCGCCGGCGGUGAUACUCGGAGGAGCCCAGUUGGAGGAACUCGUGCUCGACUUCGACAUGGAGAAGAAGCGGCUCGGGUUUCUCAGGCUGCCACACUAUAUGGAUUGCAGCAGAUUCAAUUUCACUCGAAGCGCUUAG
rnacentral:rRNA from 1 species